rnacentral:rRNA from 1 species
CACGUAGGGGCCAAGCGUUGUCCGGAUUCAUUGGGCGUAAAGAGCUCGUAGGCGGUUCAGUUAGUCGGGUGUGAAAUCUCCGGGCUCAACCCGGAGGGGCCACCCGAUACUGCUGUGACUUGAGUCCGGUAGGGGAGUGGGGAAUUCCUGGUGUAGCGGUGAAAUGCGCAGAUAUCAGGAGGAACACCGGUGGCGAAGGCGGGUCUCUGGGCCGAUACUGACGCUGAGGAGCGAAAGCGUAGGGAGCGAACAGG